GGUUGUGUAGUGUAAAGGUUAUCACCUCAGAUUCUGAAAUUCUGAAAUUCUGACUUCUGGAAAUCCUGGUUCGAUUCCGGGCACGACCU